rnacentral:rRNA from 1 species
CCUACUGGUGGCAGCAGUGAGGAAUAUUGGUCAAUGGACGAGAGUCUGAACCAGCCAAGUAGCGUGAAGGAUGACUGCCCUCUGGGUUGUAAACUUCUUUUAUAAAGGAAUAAAACGAGGCACGUGUGCCUUUUUGCAUGUACUUUAUGAAUAAGCAUCGGCUCACUCCGUGCCAGCAGCCGCGGUAAUACGGAGGGUCCGAGCGUUAUCCGGAUUGAUUGGGUUUAAAGGGAGCGUAGAUGGGUUGUUAAGUCAGUUGUGAAAGUUUGCGGCUCAACCGUACAAUUGCAAUUGAUACUGGCAGGCUUGAGUACAGUUGAGGUAGGCGGAAUUCGUGGUGUAGCGGUGAAAUGCUUAGAUAUCACGAAGAACCCCGAUUGCGAAGGCAGCUUACUAAACUGUGACUGACAUUGAUGCUCGAAAGUGUGGGUAUCAAACAGGAUUAGAUACCCGAGUAGUC